rnacentral:tRNA from 1 species
UACAUUUUAUUAUAAAAGUAUAAAAAUUUUUGAAAUUUUAGGUAAUAGGUAAUUUCUAUUAAAUGUAU